AGUCUCGAGAUUGCCUGACCAUGACACACUCCAUCAGAACUCAUCCCCACUGUUAAGCAAAGCAUGACUAUACCGCCUUGGAUUCUCCACGGUCCCAGACCUGAACUGUUUAGAUGACUGCACACGCAGAGGGCACCGUGUCUGAGGCAGAGAGCAGCUGGAAUCACAAAAGCUCUCGACAGAGAGUCAAGGAAAGGCGUGCUCUGCUUACACGACUCUCUACUUUUCUCUGGGUCUGAACCAUUUCCUAGCUAAUCUGCUUUUCUUAACCGAGCAGCUUUGCCAAAAAAAAAAAAAAAAAGAAAAAACACAAAGUUACCAACAAACACUAAACAAACCAAUAUAAACAAUACAUAUUAAAUAAGCCUAACCCUCCUAUGCUACUGAAAAGGCUUUUAUUUCCCUGGGAUAAUUUGGACAGCAUUAGAUUGUUUUACCAAGAGCAGCCAAGUCGAGGCAGAUUAUUUCUAAUUCCACAGUGCUGCAGAUGCGGUCAGUAGCAACUGCAAGCCGGAAAGGAAACAAAACAAAACAAAGUUGGGUGUAAUCCAUUCAAGUUCACACGUUUCACCAGGGACAGCCUCCAAGCCUUGAAUAGUUAGGUAUGCAUUUAGCCAUUUCUUGAAUCAACCACUACUAACGCCUGCUAAAGGCCAGACACUGCUCUAAGUACUUUACGGAUAUGAAAUAUCCUCUCACCUUUACACUCACCUAUGGAGUGUGUAUGAUAAUCAUCCCCGUUUUACAGAUCAGGAAACUGACACACAGAAUGGUACAGUAACUUGCCCGAGUUCACACAGCCCGUAGGUGGCAGAGCCAGGACCCAUGUGACAGAGUCUGGCUCCAGAGGCCACGUUCUGAAUCACCACGCUUAGUCCCCAAAAACCUAGAGAAAGCGCCAGCCUCAAUCGAAAGGUUUUCUUUUCCCCACCCUACAGUCCCUACGCGGCGGCCCCAGUCUCCAGGGCAUGCUUUCAGCUCCUCUGACAGGCCCUACUCCUCUCCCUUGCCCUGUCCCAACACUCUCCCGCCCAGGUCCUCCUUUUCUUUUAGGCAUCUGCUCUCAGCUUCAACAUCACUGCCUAAGUCACCAAGUCUAACAGGAAAUGCCGUCUUUCUCAACACUCAACACAAAAUUGCUUUUACGUAUCUCCUAGGUAAUUGGUUGCUGCCUGUCUGUCCUUUCCAACCAGGCUGUGAGGGCCAGUACGUCAAACAGCCUGUCAGUCUUGCUCACCAAGUGUCCAGACCACUGAACACGCACCGACCAGAGGAAAGGAAGGACUUGUCCCAAAGUCAACUCUCCAGACUUUCUGUGCAAGGAGGGAACGAACGGAGCACCCUCCAGCCUCACGCUUUCUCUUCCAUGCUUUCAAGUGUGGGGCACAUACCUCUGCUCACAACGCUCCCCGGACAGCCCCCACUGCACCCCUAACAGGUAGACUUCUGCACAGUCAAGGGCUUUGGAAAGCACUGGCUCUGCACACAAAUCUUACGUGGCCCUCGACAGGCCACUUCCCCUGAACCGGCCUGAGCUUCAGGCCCACAACAGGCUUCGUGAAAACCCCAACGGAACGUAGCCUCGAAAAGAGGGAGACCCGCACUCCUCAGAACGCCUCGAGACCAGUGUCCUUAUCGACUUCGCGUCUGUCCUUCCGAGAAGCCGAGACCACGGCUGGCGCUUCAGCGCCCGACUCCCGGGCACCGCAUGCCCAGGCAUAUGGAAAGGGACUCAACAUCCUUAGCGAUCAGAGAAAUGCAAAUCACAACUACAAGGAGAUGUCCCCUUACUCUGGUCAGAAUGGCUCUAAUUAACAAGACAAGAGACAAGUGUCGGAGAGGAUGUGCAGAGAAGGGAACUCUCCUGCACUGCUGGUGGGAGGGCAGACUGGUGCAGCCACUACGGAAAGCAGGAUGGAGUAUCCUCAGAAAACUAAGAAUACAUCUACCAUAUGUAUGAUCCAGCUAGCCCACUGCUGGCUAUUCAUCCAAAGAACUUGAAAACACCAAUGCAGAGGGACACAUGCUCCCCUAGGCUCACUGCAGCAUUAUUCACAACAGCCAAAACUUGGAAGCAACCUAGGUGCCCAUCAAGGGAAGAAUGGAUAAAGAAGAUGUGGUAUGUAUACACAAUGGAAUGCCACUCGGCCCUAAGAAAUGAUGAGAUCCGCCCAUUUGUGACAACGUCGAUGGACCUUGAGGGUAUUAUGCGAAGUGAAAUAAAUCAGAGGGACAAAGUCAAACACCGUGUGAUCUCACUCAUAAGGAGAAGAUAAAAACAACGACAAACGCACACAGAGCAAAGGAGAUUGCAUUGGUGGUUACCAUAGGGGGAGGGGGGAGGGGAGAGAGCCAAAGGGGUGAUGAGGCUCACAUGUGAGGUGACGGACUAUCAUUAGUUUUCGGGUGGUGAACACGAUGUAAUCUACACAGAAUUCAAAAUAUAUUACAACGUACAUCUGAAAGCUAUAUCAUCUUAGGAUCCACUGUUACUGCAA
ensembl:lncRNA